rnacentral:rRNA from 1 species
AUUGAACGCUGGCGGCAGGCCUAACACAUGCAAGUCGGGCGGUAGCACAGAGAGCUUGCUCUCGGGUGACGAGCGGCGGACGGGUGAGUAAUGUCUGGGAAACUGCCUGAUGGAGGGGGAUAACUACUGGAAACGGUAGCUAAUACCGCAUAACGUCGCAAGACCAAAGAGGGGGACCUUCGGGCCUCUUGCCAUCAGAUGUGCCCAGAUGGGAUUAGCUAGUAGGUGGGGUAAUGGCUCACCUAGGCGACGAUCCCUAGCUGGUCUGAGAGGAUGACCAGCGACACUGGAACGGAGACACGGUCCAGACGCCUACGGGAGGCAGCAGUGGGGAAUAUUGCACAAUGGGCGCAAGCCUGAUGCAGCCAUGCCGCGUGUAUGAAGAAGGCCUUCGGGUUGUAAGGUACUUUCAGCGAGGAGGAAGGCAUUGUGGUUAAUAACCACAGUGAUUGACGUUACUCGCAGAAGAAGCACCGGCUAACUCCGUGCCAGCCGCCGCGGUAA